rnacentral:rRNA from 1 species
CCUACGGGAGGCAGCAGUGGGGAAUAUUGCACAAUGGGGGAAACCCUGAUGCAGCGACGCCGCGUGAGUGAUGAAGUCUCUCGGUAUGUAAAGCUCUAUCAGCAGGGGAGAAGAAAGGCGGUACCUGACUAAGAAGCACCGGCUAACUACGUGCCAGCAGCCGCGGUAAUACGUAGGAGGCAAGCGUUAUCGGAAUUUACUGGGUGUAAAGGGAGCGUAGACGGGUUGUCAAGGCUGAAGUGAGAGCCCAGGGCUCAACCCUGGGACUGCAUUGGAAACUGGGGAUCUAGAGUGCUGGAGAGGUAAGUGGAAUUCCUGGUGUAGCGGUGAAAUGCGUAGAUAUUAGGAGGAACACCAGUGGCGAAGGCGGCUUACUGGACAGUAACUGACGUUGAGGCUCGAAAGCGUGGGGAGCAAACAGGAUUAGAUACCCGAGUAGUC